UACUCACUUUGGCAGCAAUAUACUAAAAUUGGAACCAUAUAGAGAAGAUUAGCAUGGCCCCUGUGCAAGGAUGACAUGCGAAAUCAUGAAACGUUCCAUAUUUUU